GACGAACGCUGGCGGCGUGCUUUACACAUGCAAGUCGAACGGCAAGGCCCUGCUUUUGUUGGUGGCUCGAGUGGCAAACGGGUGAGUAACACGUGAGUAACCUGCCCUUCACUUUGGGAUAACUUCAGGAAACUGGGGCUAAUACCUGAUAGGAGCUCCUGCUGCAUGGUGGGGGUUGGAAAGUUUCGGCGUUUGGGGAUGGACUCGAGGCUUAUCAGCUUGUUGGUGGGGUAGUGGCUUACCAAGGCUUUGACGGGUAGCCGGCCUGAGAGGGUGACCGGCCACAUUGGGACUGAGAGACGGCCCAGACGCAUACGGGAGGCAGCAGUGGGGAAUAUGGUACAAUGGGCGGAAGCCUGAUGCAGCAACGCCGCGUGUGGGAUGACGGCCUUCGGGUUGUAAACCGCUUUAGCCUGUGACGAAGCGUGAGUGACGGUAAUGGGUAAAGAAGCACCGGCUAACUACGUG
rnacentral:rRNA from 1 species